UACAGAGGUCCCAAGCGUUGUUCGGAUUCAUUGGGCGUAAAGGGUGCGUAGGUGGCGGGGUAAGUUGGAUGUGAAAUCCCGGGGCUCAACCCCGGAACUGCAUUCAAUACUGCUCUGCUAGAGUACUGGAGAGGAGAUUGGAAUUCAUGGUGUAGCAGUGAAAUGCGUAGAUAUCAUGAGGAAGACCAGUGGCGAAGGCGGAUCUCUGGACAGUUACUGACACUGAGGCACGAAGGCCAGGGGAGCAAAGCGGG
rnacentral:rRNA from 1 species